rnacentral:rRNA from 1 species
AACGAACGCUGGCGGCGUGCUUAACACAUGCAAGUCGAACGCGAAAAGGGGGGCAACCCCCUGAGUAGAGUGGCGCACGGGUGAGUAACGCGUGGGCAACCUACCUCCGGGCGGGGGAUAACUACCCGAAAGGGUGGCUAAUACCGCAUGAGACCACGAUGCCUCCGGGCAUCGGGGCCAAAGAUGCCGCAAGGUGUCACCUGGAGACGGGCCCGCGUACGAUUAGCUAGUUGGUAGGGUAACGGCCUACCAAGGCUGCGAUCGUUAGCUGGUCUGAGAGGAUGAUCAGCCAAACUGGAACUGGAACACGGUCCAGACUCCUACGGGAGGCAGCAGUGAGGAAUAUUGCGCAAUGGGGGAAACCCUGACGCAGCAACGCCGCGUGGGUGAAGAAGGCCUUCGGGUCGUAAAGCCCUUUCGGACGGGACGAACGCCGGCCUGGGACAACCAGGUCGGUCUGACGGUACCGUAAGAAGAAGCACCGGCUAACUCCGUGCCAGCAGCCGCCGCGGUAA